AUGGAUCAGCUUUUCAUUACAACGGACAAGUUUGAUGUAAAUCUAGGACAUGUCUCCGAAAGUUUCAAGGUCGGUAAAUCAGUACGCACCGAAGCAAUAGAGCCCAUGCUAACAAUCUUGAGAAAAGAACUCAAUGGCACACGGAGAAAGAUUCUGUCGUUAAGCAACACUUUCCUUCUACCAUGUUCAUUGAACGGGUUUGAGCAAGACGAAACUAUAAGUCAUUACUUCACCAUCACAGUUGACAUGCAAAAACAGCGUUUUGAACUCCUCGACUCUUCAACUGCAUAUACAGGCACAAUAGAAUUCUUCAACAAUGUAACCAGCAAAUUAAUGAAAAUCUGGAAGCACAUAAGCACAGAGCUACAACUUUCAGAAAAAAGCAUCGACCAUUACAAAAAGGUCAGACUGCAGGUGCCACUUCAAGGAGAAGACACAAUGGACUGCGCAUUCUAUAUGUACAUGAACCUGAAGCACUACUCCAGUGAUGGAACAACAGCAACCUUAAAGCCAGAACAAGUACGAAAGUUGAGGAAAAAGGUUUACAACAGGUAA
rnacentral:rRNA from 1 species